rnacentral:rRNA from 1 species
UACGAGGGGGGCAAGCGUUGUUCGGAAUUAUUGGGCGUAAAGGGCGCGUAGGCGGUGCGGUAAGUCACCUGUGAAACCUCUGGGCUUAACUCAGAGCCUGCAGGCGAAACUGCCGUGCUGGAGUAUGGGAGAGGUGCGUGGAAUUCCCGGUGUAGCGGUGAAAUGCGUAGAUAUCGUUUGGAACGCCAAUGGUGAAAACAGGUUGCUGGGAGUGUGCUGACGCUGAGACACGAAAGCCAGGGGAGCGAACGGG